GACGAAGGGGGCUAGCGUUGUUCGGAAUUACUGGGCGUAAAGCGAGUGUAGGUGGUUGUCCAAGUUGGAUGUGAAAGCCUUGAGCUCAACUCAAGAAAUGCAUUCAGGACUGGGCGGCUAGAGGACCGGAGAGGAUAGUGGAAUUCCCAGUGUAGUGGUGAAAUACGUAGAGAUUGGGAAGAACACCAGUGGCGAAGGCGGCUAUCUGGACGGUUUCUGACACUAAGACUCGAAAGCGUGGGGAGCGAACAGG
rnacentral:rRNA from 1 species